GGGGAUGGGGCGGCCUGGAUCCUGGGCCCAAGCAGAUGUGCGGGAGCGCGCGCACGAGUGCGCGCAUGCGCGUGGGCCAGGGCCAGAGCCCGGUGAGGGACACAGCUGAGGCUGCGGCGGUGCUGUGAGUUGGCUCCCAGACCGCCUGCCGCCCCAAGCCCCCAAGUGUCUGGGCCAGCCAGGGACUGACGCCCACCUCAGCCCCCGACCGGGGACAUGCUGCUGCCUGGCGCCUGCGACUCGGUAGCCAUGGCAUUGGCGGUAGGGGUAGCGGUAGUGCUCACGGGGCGCUCGCGGGAGCGUGGGCGGAGCCCGCGUGGAGAAGACUGGGAGCCAUAAGCCUCCAGCCUCGGAGGGUGGCGGCCCUGCUGCUCCUGCUGCUCCUGGAGCCAGAGAUCAGGGCGCGGGACGCGCUUCCCAGGCGCCUCUGUCUUUGGCCGCGCUGGUGGAGUGCCAGCACUGGCUGGAGCAGAGCACGAUGCGAUGCCCCCCCGGCGCCCCGGAAAGACCAUCUGGGAGAAGCCUAAAGGUGGAGCAGCUGAGACCCACAGCCUCCCUCCAGGACCUGCCUCAGUCGCGGUGCUGCCAAGAUGCACAGUGGCUCUGAGGGGAUGAAGACUUGGCAGUCUAGUCAGCGACUAACCUGGAUGCGGCAGGUUCCUGAAAGUACCACAUGAUCUCUGCUUGUUUCCCUCCUCUCUUCCUUUGCCAUUUGAAUACCCACCAUACAUGAAGAGGCUCAGGUGAUUGAUGUCUGAGAACAGGAUGCUGACUGUUCCCUCAGAUGCACAGUGGCUCUGAGGGGAUGAAGACUUGGCAGUCUAGUCAGCGACUAACCUGGAUGCGGCAGGUUCCUGAAAGUACCACAUGAUCUCUGCUUGUUUCCCUCCUCUCUUCCUUUGCCAUUUGAAUACCCACCAUACAUGAAGAGGCUCAGGUGAUUGAUGUCUGAGAACAGGAUGCUGACUGUUCCCUCAGAUGCACAGUGGCUCUGAGGGGAUGAAGACUUGGCAGUCUAGUCAGCGACUAACCUGGAUGCGGCAGGUUCCUGAAAGUACCACAUGAUCUCUGCUUGUUUCCCUCCUCUCUUCCUUUGCCAUUUGAAUACCCACCAUACAUGAAGAGGCUCAGGUGAUUGAUGUCUGAGAACAGGAUGCUGACUGUUCCCUCAGAUGCACAGUGGCUCUGAGGGGAUGAAGACUUGGCAGUCUAGUCAGCGACUAACCUGGAUGCGGCAGGUUCCUGAAAGUACCACAUGAUCUCUGCUUGUUUCCCUCCUCUCUUCCUUUGCCAUUUGAACACCCACCAUACAUGAAGAGGCUCAGGUGAUUGAUGUCUGAGAACAGGAUGCUGACUGUUCCCUCAGGUAAGAGUUAAGUGCCAGACCUGGGCAAACCAUUUUGAGUACCUCCUAGCUCAUGUAUUUUAAUUGCCUCUUUGUGGAGUGUAAACCUCUUAGACCUUAACCUAGAGGUCCAUGGUGCAGAAAAGCUUAGCAGAUGGAGGGGAAAAUGGAAACAGAGUUGGAUAUAGAUGUUAGCCUCAGGGGAAAGAAUGUGGUUUGAGUUGGGAAAUGAGGAGGUGGGUAAAGGGAAGGUGCAGAUAUGUAUCGGGUGGCCCUCCUGCCGUCUCACUCCCUCUCUCUCCAUAGUAAAGAAACAUGAACAAAUAGAACGUUCCCCAGGGCAGGUGCUGGCCCCGGUCACAGCCAUUCAUUCGCUUUGUAAUUAACUUGACGGUGUUACUUUAGCAUUAUUGAAUAUUUGAGUAUUAUUAUUUGAGGAGCACUGGGUUCAUGUACAGCCACCUCCCUGGGAAACCAGCUUUGCAAAAGCUUCCUGGGUCUCUUCAGGGGUGAAAGGGAGGUGAUCACCUUGGGAGGAGACACCUGCCAGUCCCUGUCCCACUGGCCUGGUCUCUGGAGCCCUCUGCCUGACUCCCGGCUGUCAGGCUGGCGGGCAGUCGGUCAGAGCAUCUGGUGGGCACA